rnacentral:lncRNA from 1 species
AUGAGAAUGAUGGAUGGAAAAGUUUGGGGCAGUGCCCAGGAAGUGGGGAGUGUUCUUUCGAACCUUGCUUUUGAUGGACGGAAGAGUGUUUUCCCAAUGGACGUGGUUGAUCGACUGAUUCACUAUGAGUUCAGGCCCGAGGCUAGCCGCAUGGUUAUUCUGUUUGCGGAUGGCAUUGAGGCCUCUGACGACCUGCUGAAUUUUGUUGAGUGGUUCUUCAACAAAGAAGGCACCCAGUUCAGUGUCAUUAUCCCCAAUAAAUAUUUCCCAGAAGAGGUGAAAAAUGGUAAAUUUGUGGGUCUAACUAGCAAUGGAAGGCUUAUACCAAUGGUGCAAGGCCGCAACGCCGAGAAGCUUCACCUCCCCAGAGGAAACCUCAUCAGCAUUGUCAAGCAAACAAAUGGUGCGGUAUUCAGCAGAGACUCGCUGUCCGAGUCUCAAGACACUCUUGUUGAAGCUUUCAGUGCUCUGCGAGACGACACACAACAGAAAGGCAGGGAGUGCAAGUGUGAUCGUUCCAACGAUGAAACCAGUCGAGCUUCUUGUUCAGACACUCUCUAGCAGGCUGUAAACUUUCUUCUUCAUAAUACAACCCAAAUUAUCCAUCUCGACUUUUCUAUACACUCUUAUCAAAUAUGAACACCCAGAUAAUGUUGCUUUCCCAAGAAGAUAUUAUGUGUAUACAUCUUUUAUGUAUGCCAUCAGCUAACUUUACUCCAGCAUGACCAACUCACCGCAGAUUAAUGCUUUUCCACAGCUUCACCGCAACUACAAGUUUACUACAUGUCACUGGUUGUUAUAAGUUUACUAUUCGUGUUUAUGGUAGAACAUGCAGAAACUUCAUUCACAGUUGUAAUUAUGCAUUAGAUGUUCUUUUAUUGGAAAGUCAUGAAUAAACUAUAACCCAGCAAUUGUGUUUCAUGGAUAAUGUUAUGUUGGCGUGUCUAAGUGACUGGAAUUUCCUGGGGAAUGACAAAGCUGUCUUUGGCUUUCAUUCAUUACCAAGGCUUAGUAUUGGCUUAAUGGUUAGGGUGGUGGGCUUGGGAUCCCCCUCGGCUGUUGAAUUAAUACCAGAUGGGGGUUGACUCUGCCUGUCAUCCUUCUGAGGUCGGCAAAAUGAGUGCCAGCUUGCUGGUAUCAUGUGUUGGAGUGGUGGCCUGUCCAGGAUUGUGCCCAAAUAGCCAAGGAGACUGCUUCGGCAGCACCAACGUUCUGCAAAGAGUAUGGUCUCGAUGGAUGGAUGGUCUUGAGUUCAAGCCCCUGUCAGGCUGUUGAAUUAACAUCCAGUAAGGUUGACUCAGUCUGUCAUCCUUAUGAGGUUGGCAAAAAUGAGUACCUGGUUACUGGUAAUGGGGGCACAUCAAUGGCACAGCUAUGCCCCCAGAAAAUGAUGCAGCCAAGCAGUCACAGGCUGUAUAAGAAUAAAUAAAUAAAUUCAUUAUCAUGUUAUUUGACCAAACGUUCGGUGGAAAUCAUCAAAUCUGGAUUGCAGAAACUUCCGGAGGGAAACCUAGAUGCAAAGCUGUCUUAUCUCCUGUUAAAAUACUGCAUCACACCACAAGCAACAACCGGUGGUCCAACAGUCACUGUAUCAACAUUGGAGAUUCAGUGUUUGCCCACAACUUUGGCACAGGUGCGACUUGGUUACUGGGAGACAUCAUCGAGAAGUCAGGUCCACUGUUCUACACGAUUCGCCUGCACAACGCCUGCAAAACUUUUCAACAUCAGGACCAUGAGACCGACUGUCACUGUCAGUCGAUUGAGCCUGCAGCAUUAUCACAGCAAGAACAACAGUUCGUCCCACCACUGCUGGAGAUCAUCGUCGUCGCUCCAGUUGGCUCUGAUACCCCGAAAACUGUGAAUGCUCCACCGUCGUGGAGAUAGAAAUAAUUUCUCGGUAUCCACUGUUCCUCCAUGAUGCUCAAUGCAUGAGAGAAAAGCACGCGACCGUUUGAAUGUUUGAAGUUGUUUUGUGUUUUUUUUUUCUCCCUGUCUGUCUUUGCGUUGACACAUACAGGGGCAGAAUAAUCCUCGUGUGUGCUUAUACUGACCAUGACAGUCUACCCGAAGUCCACUUGGUUUCAUUUGCACACACAUAGUGGUACAUUUUUUUUUGGAAAUAUUGCUGUUGGUAAUUUCUGAUUUAAAUGGGACGAUGUCAUACUGUAUAUGGACGUUCAAACGUUCCCCUGUUUUAUCCUGACACUGGGACUGAGGGUCUUCUUCAUUUUCUGGGGGUUACGAGGGAGUUCCGACGGUGUGGAUGUGAAACGUGCUUGUAUCCUGAGGGUCAAAAAUGUUUGACAAUCAAUCAAUGUCUGUCGACUGCCAUUACAGAUCCCAUCUGCUAGCACUUGCUUGUAGAUGUUAAAGAUCCACCAAUAUAUUUUGAGGAAGGUAGACCAUUGUGUCGCAGGUCGUCUGGCCAAAUGUUAUAAUUCCUACUUGAACCUACGAGUACACUAUACAGUAUUUGUGUCAAAAUGUACAGGUAAGCAAGUCUGCG